rfam:Chlorocebus sabaeus isolate 1994-021 chromosome 11, whole genome shotgun sequence.
GCUGGGCAUGGUGGUGCAUGCCUGUAAUCCCAGCUACUCGGGGGGCUGAGGUGGGAGAAUUGCUUGAACCUGGGAGGCGAAGACUGCAGUGAGCCGAGAUCGUGCCACUGCACUCCACUCUGGGUGACAGAGCAAGACUCCGUCUCAA